rnacentral:rRNA from 1 species
ACACGAACUGUGCAAACGUUAUUCGGAUUUACUGGGCUUAAAGAGUUCGUAGGCGGCCUGAUAAGUCGGGUGUGAAAUCCCCCAGCCCAACUGGGGAACUGCGCUCGAUACUGUCGGGCUUGAGGGAGAUAGAGGUGAGCGGAACUGAUGGUGGAGCGGUGAAAUGCGUUGAUAUCAUCAGGAACACCGGUUGCGAAAGCGGCUCACUGGGUCUCUUCUGACGCUGAGGAACGAAAGCUAGGGGAGCAAACGGGAUUAGAUACCCCGGUAGUCCUAGCUGUAAACGAUGAGCACUAGGUCGAUGGAACCUCCACAUUCCACCGGCCGUAGCGAAAGUGUUAAGUGCUCCGCCUGGGGAGUAUGGUCGCAAGGCUGAA